AUUGCUCUAGUAACGGCGAGUGAACAAGCAAAAGCUCAGUUUUGAAAGCCUACUUUGUAGGCAUUGUAUUCUGAAGCCUAGAUUCUGGGAAACGGUGUUUAAGUCUUCUGGAAAGGAGCGCCACGGAGGGUGAUAGCCCCGUACGGCACUGACCCCAUUGUAGUUUCUAGGCGUGGAGUCGAGUUGUUUGGGAAUGCAGCUCAAAUGGGAGGUAUGCUCCUUCUAAAGCUAAAUAUUUGCGAGAGACCGAUAGCGAACAAGUACUGUGAAGGAAAGAUGAAAAGAACUUUGAAAAGAGAGUGAAAUAGGACGUGAAAUUGUUGAAAUGGAAGGGUAGGCUGCUAACCAUGUAGGACCGUGUCUGAGGGGAAGAUAAAAGCUACGGAAUGUGACUCUUCGGAGUGUUAUAGCCGUGGUCAAUGUUCCCACUUAGGCGCGAGGAUCUCAGGUUCUACUAAAUGGUGGUCUACCACCCGUCU
rnacentral:rRNA from 1 species